UACUUACUCUUUUAUCUGUUCUUUUCUUAGCAGGCUGUGUCAAGUUCUGGUUCAUCGGAUACGGAUCUCAGACACAGAAAUUGUAUUCCUGUAGACGAGCGGCAGUCGGCGGCAGAGCUGGACGCUAUUCUACAGCAUCAUCACAACCUGCAGGAGAAACUAGCUGAUGACAUGCUGAAUCUCGCUCGCAACCUGAAGAACAACACGCUCGCGGCCCAGAACAUCAUCAAGCAGGAC